rnacentral:rRNA from 1 species
AGUGAACGCUGGCGGCAGGCCUAAUACAUGCAAGUCGAACGGCAGCACAGCAGAGCUUGCUCUGUGGGUGGCGAGUGGCGGACGGGUGAGGAAUACAUGGGAAUCUGCCCAGUCGUGGGGGAUAACGUAUGGAAACGUACGCUAAUACCGCAUGCGCCCUACGGGGGAAAGCCGGGGACCGCAAGGCCUGGCGCGAUUGGAUGAGCCCAUGUUCGAUUAGCUAGUUGGCGGGGUAAAGGCCCACCAAGGCGACGAUCGAUAGCUGGUCUGAGAGGAUGAUCAGCCACACUGGAACUGAGACACGGUCCAGACUCCUACGGGAGGCAGCAGUGGGGAAUAUUGGACAAUGGGCGCAAGCCUGAUCCAGCCAUGCCGCGUGAGUGAUGAAGGCCCUAGGGUUGUAAACUGCUUUUGUACGGAACGAAACGGUCUGCUCUAAUACAGUGGGCUAAUGACGGUACCGUAAGAAU